CUUCGUCCUCCUGGGCUGGCAGCAGGGUUUUCCCCCAGCGCCACUUACUCCUGGCAGCCCUAACCCUGGGUGCCAGAGCGGCCAAGGCCCAGGCCAGGACCUACGGACUGAUGGACGCCAGAACCCAGGAGGUCCAUGGGCCUGUCCGACAGAGGCUGGCACCUGGGCAUGGCCUGCUGGCUGGCAGGAGCCCCCUUACCUAGCCUGGGCAAGGGAGACAUCAUUUUCACUUGCUGGCUUUUGAGAAAGUGACCCUGUCCUCCUGUUCCUGGUUCAUACCUGUUGGUGGAGAUGUUAGAGAGGAGUGGAGAUAAAAACUUGAUGAAGUCCGACACAGCUGGCUGGGAGUGAACCUGGAUGCUCCUAAGGACCCCCCAGGAAAGUAAGCACCUGGCAUGUGUAUCAGAAGACCCCCUAUGGCCUCACACACAGGUAGCUGUCUGCCCCACUUGGGCAGAGAAGGGCUCACUCCAUCAGACACAGACCCAGAGACGAUUGUGUGCUGGCAAACAGGAGGCCACCCAGAGUUGCUCUUUCAGAGAAGCCAGGGCCAGUCCUGUCCUCAGAGGCUCUACCUGGUGCCAGAUCUACCCUACCCUCAGCUCCUAAGGGGCUCAGCCUGGCCUCCAACCAGGGAGAGAGAUCCUUGCCCAGGACAGGGCAGGAGAUAGGGCCAAGGAUUCUGGGUCCCUGCUCCAGCCCCACCUUCUGCCCUGUAGGCUAAGGUGGCCUGAGUCGUCCUCUUGAAGUAGAUGGAAUCCAGCAGGGACAGAUUUGCUCUGAGACAGCCUCUUGCAGCCCAGGCACACAGUAGGUACCCCUAGCACACAGUAGGUACCCCUGCCCUAUCCUCCAGCCCCUUGCACUUGCCAUUCAUCCAGAUGGGCUAUGUCAGUUUUUAAGCAUCAGUAUACUCAUCCACAAAAUGGCCAGGGAUACCUGCUGGUGGAGAUCAGGGGGCUGUAGAGUGACCCCCUAGAACACUUGUACAUUGGGGUGAAGACGCCAGAGAGCUGGUAAACAGUACAUGCACUGAGGUGGCACACGGUGCUGUCACCACUUUCUCUAGCCUUCCCCCAGCCAGCUUCAACAGGCUCAGAACCAGCUGUCCAUCACUCAGAGUCAUCCCAUUGGAGUCUACGCACGUUGGUGCUACUAGAGGUGGUAGGUUAAGGCAUUGUGUCUGCUUCUGUCCAGUGGGUGGGACUGUGCUGGCUUCUCUCAUGCUAUGGCUAAGAAGGGCCCUGUAUGGAGGAGCCCAGACCUGUGGGGCUCUGCAGCUUCAAGAUAGUUUCAAGGAGAAUACACAAGAGGCCCUGUCAACUGGGAUGACCUAGCCACUUGGAGGCCUGGCCCCUGCCAUACAUCACUUAGAUAAGGUAGUGCAUCCAUUCUUCCCUUGGCAGGAUGCCUCCCAGGCUCAGUUCCAGUCUGGCACAUUCAAGGGGUGCAGUUCCAACAUUGACAACUAAACCUCAGAGCCCCAAACUUCCCAUGGUUCCCCAAUCUAAGCUCGUGACUUAAAGACCUCAUGGCCCAGUGUCUCCAGGCCAUAGAUGAUGAACUAGUCUCCUGGCCUUGAGCUACUGUGAGUUCCAGGUGGCUCCUAAGAUGUGCCUGGGGCCUUUUGAGGGGCUCUCCAGUUGGGAUUCACAGGAAACAAUAGAAAUGCAAGAAAAGGGCUCAUAGAUGCACCCCAGCACCUAAUUAGUGUUGCUUCUUCUCUAGGCACCGGCUUCUUCUUGACAACUUCCCUGGGUGACUCUUAGAACUCAAUGGCCACGUCCAGCUCAGGUCAGUGCAACAUUUUGGUUGUUUAUAGAACUCAGGGCCACCUACCCCAGCCCUCCUGGAUACUGCUAUGGGUCCAUGUAGCCAUGCAGGCCUGGAGGUCUGUAUAUGCUGGGUCUUGGCUAGGUAGUCUCAACUCCUGCCUGUCUCUUUAGGGGACUCUAGGAUGGCCAAGCAUAUCCAGGUGCGCCCAGAAGGCUAAACUGGGCUCUCUCUCUGCCCUAGCCAUCAAGAAGGAGAUGGGAGAAGAUUGAGAUGGCCCCGGGACAUUUGUAUCACAUGCAGUGUCACUCAGGGCUCAGUGGCAAAGGUUCUGUUUCUGCCACCAUGGAAACCUUGCAGUUAUGACAGGGGACCUGUGUACCUGAGAUUUUUGUGCUCAGAGGUGGUGGCCAGCCUGGGCACUGUGCUCACACUUGUCCCUGUCCCUUGGAGGCAGACCCCAAGUAUAGCUUUGGACCCACCUAGAUGAAUCCAGGGAUUCGAUGUGGCCAUGGUCGAAGGCAGCCUCACCUGCCAGACUGCAGUCAGGGCCCCAUGCUGUCUCGUACGAGUCAGAGCAACUUGCAUUCAGUCCUGGGACCCCUCUGCUACCUGUGCAUUUGUGUGUAUGGGCUGCCACACACACUCCCCUUGUCUUUGUGUCUGCACCUGGGGUCAGGGCUGUUAUUGCCUGAGAGUAGGGCAAAUGUAGACAGCUAGGGAGGAGGCUCUAGGACUUGGUAGAUGGGACAGCACAGGAGAAGAGAGUACAGGCAGAGAUUGAAGAGAGGCUGGGCAGAGCAUCUGGAUAUAACCCAAGAGUGUAGUUGUUCCAGGUAGCCCUAGAGACCUAGUAGCUAUGGUUCACAGAUGCUGGCCUUUCUUGGGUACCUACCCUAAACCACACCUGUAUGUGGUACUUCCAUCCUCAGCCAGAGGCAGCCAGCCUCCCGUUUAUACAAUCCCUUCAGUGUCCCAUGGAUGCAGAUGGACCUCUAGAGUCCAGUGAUGCACCUUUUACAAGGGCUCAGGCUGGGAAUGUUCUCCUGGGUCUCUGAGUCCUGGGGGUUAAUGUGUGUUGGAGGCUGAGCUCCCAACAUUGGGUGGGAGCAAGGGUGGGAGUCCCUGAGGGGUUCUGGGUCAAGACAUAUGAGGAAGAGUCUAGAAAAGGGUGACAAAGUAGCCAGUCUGGGUCCAUGACACAGCCCCUACUUAGCACCAUGCACAUAAGGUGAAGCUGCAUGUAUGCAGUAGGUGCUUACUCAGUGCUAGUGUUAGUUUCAGGGAUGCCCCCUCCCCAUAAAUAAGAUCCUUCUUUCCAGGGGCUUCUAGGUAGAGAGAGUCAGUCCCAUCUUACCUGUAGCCUGGAGAUACUGGGCCACGAGGUCUUUGAGACACCAGCUUAGACUGGGGAGCCUUGGGGCUCUAAGGUUCAGUUGGCAAGGUUGGAAUUUCACCCCUUGAAUGUGCCAGACUGGAUCUGAGCCUGGGAGGUCUGAGUGUAGGCAAGCCCUUGGCCUUACAUCCUACCUACACGUCUGUAGCUGGCCACGAAGCCCACCAUGAUCAAUGUUUG
rnacentral:lncRNA from 1 species